AUGAACGCUGGCGGCGUGUUUAAGGCAUGCAAGUCGAGCGACGUGUUCCCGCAAGGGAAUUACGAGCGGCAAACGGGUGAGUAACACAUUGGUAACCUACCUCCGAGUCGGGGAUAGCUCGCCGAAAGGCGAAUUAAUACCCGAUAGUAACGCGGGGACAAAAGUCAUUCGCGUUUAAAGCUUUAGUGCUUGGAGAGGGGCCUAUGUCUGAUUAGCUAGUUGGUAGGGUAAUGGCCUACCAAGGCUUUGAUCAGUAGCAGGCGUGAGAGCGUGACCUGCCUCACUGGGACUGAGACACUGCCCAGACACCUACGGGUGGCUGCAGUCAAGAAUAUUCCUCAAUGGACGAAAGUCUGAAGGAGCGACGCCGCGUGCAGGAUGAAGGUUUUCGGAUUGUAAACUGCUUUUAUAGGGGACGAAUUCGUGACGGUACCCUAUGAAUAAGAGGUUGCUAACUCUGU
rnacentral:rRNA from 1 species